rnacentral:rRNA from 1 species
UAAGGAAUAUUGCGCAAUGGGGGAAACCCUGACGCAGCAACGCCGCGUGGAGGAUGACACUUUUCGGAGCGUAAACUCCUUUUAUCAGGAAAGAAUAAUGACGGUACCUGAUGAAUAAGCACCGGCUAACUCCGUGCCAGCAGCCGCGGUAAUACGGGGGGUGCAAGCGUUACUCGGAAUCACUGGGCGUAAAGGACGCGUAGGCGGAUUAUCAAGUCUUUUGUGAAAUCUAGUGGCUUAACCACUAAACUGCUUAGGAAACUGAUAGUCUAGAGUACGGGAGAGGUAGAUGGAAUUCUUGGUGUAGGGGUAAAAUCCGUAGAGAUCAAGAAGAAUACCCAUUGCGAAAGCGAUCUGCUGGAACCUAACUGACGCUGAGGCGUGAAAGCGUGGGUAGCAAACAGG